rnacentral:rRNA from 1 species
GAUAGAUACCGUCGUAGUCUCUACCGUAAACUAUGCCGACCAGGGAUCCGGAGAGUUUGCAUGGAUGACUCCCCGGGCACCUUGUGAGAAAUCAUAAGUGUUUGGGUUUUGGGGGGAGUAUGGUCGCAAGGCUGAAACUUAAAGGAAUUGACGGAAGGGCACCACCAGGAGUGGAACCUGCGGCUUAAUUUGACUCAACACGGGGAAACUUACGAGGUCAGGACACUGUGAGGAUUGACAGAUUGAAAGCUCUUUCUUGAUUCAGUGGGUGGUGGUGCAUGGCCGUUCUUAGUUGGUGGAGUGAUUUGUCUGGUUAAUUCCGUUAACGAACGAGACCUUAACCUGCUAAAUAGUCACGCGAACCGGUCCGCAAGGGCUCAAAGUUCGCGGCUCGACUUCUUAGAGGGACUAUUCGCACCCGCCAGCGAAUGGAAGUUUGAGGCAAUAACAGGUCUGUGAUGCUCUUAGA